UUAGGAGGAAAAUAUCACGUUAUAUUAAUAAACCAAACCUAAUGUAGCGGGUAGGAAGUAGGCAGUGGGAAUUGCGCGUUGAUUGAAUCAGGUGGUGGGCGUUUGGCGCUGCACCUUUAAAUCUAGCAAGCUGGCGGUUUCUCUGAUUAGUGUUUUGCUAUAGAUUCUUGGUUCCUUGGACUCUUGGUUGGUUGUACGAGUUGAUCUUGACUUGGUGUUUGUGCGGUUAUUCAGUGCCGUGGUUACAUCUAGCUCUGUCUUCACAAGCCCUCACCGGCUACGGAUUGUGUCUGUGUGUUUCAAUGAAAAUUCGCUGAUUUAGAGUAUGACCACUACAAGUUUGCCGAGUGCUGUUUGUUGUGCUGAGAAUUUUGGCCUGGGAAUGUACGAGUAAAAACCAGACGGAAUAAGGCGAUUGCUACAGUAUUACAACUAAACAAGCUCUUGGCUCGACGUCUGUGUUCAUACAGGAGGACCGUCAUAUGCCAUCUUGGCCACUGUUUUUCCUGUGCCCCGUUUUUAGUAUUCAGUUGUGUGUGUGUGUGUGGGAGGCCCACUGUAUUGCCCAUUAGUCUUCCCCUGUGUGUGUUGCUGUAUGUUUUAUGUUUGUAUCUUAGGCCAUUGGGUUGGUGCAAUAUCCUGGGGGGGGGGUCACUGGUUUGCUGAGUGUAAAUUUAUUUUGCUUUUUGUGCAUAUGAUUUGUGAUGUGCCUUAUUUAUUCUGUGUUUGUUGAUUGAGUUUUGCUGAUUUUUUUUUUGUGUUAUUCAUUUAAACACCUUGAUUUUGCACUUUGUUGUCCCCGUCCCUGAAUUUGUUGACCAGAGGCCUAAUGUUUGUUAUUUUUCAAGUGUGUCUAACUGGAGAAAAAUAAAAUAAACUAUUUCUAUUUUUAUAAUACUCCAGUCCCUCUCUCUCCUUUUAUUUCCCUUUAUUGGGAUAGCCUGCUUGUGAAUAUAUAAAAUUUAGAUUGUUGGUUGACUGGUUUGAAAAUGCCCCCUAGGGGUUACACUAACAUAACCCAACCUAAACCUAAUUUAAAUUUUAAAUUUUUCCCAUUCAGUGAAAAUGAAUUUUGCUGCAGUCUUUUUGAGUGGAACUUCAAACUUUUUUGAGUGUUGACUUACAGGCAAAGUCUACUGUAAGCCUUUAGGGGUCUUCUGGGGAAUGAGCCACAAGAUGUCAUCAGCACACUGC
rnacentral:lncRNA from 12 species